AAAGUCGUAACAAGGUUUCCGUAGGUGAACCUGCGGAAGGAUCAUUAACACGAAACCCACGUUUCAUACCAACCUGUGCUCUUGUAAACUUUCAAGUGAUAGUAACCUCCUUUUCUGUUCUAAACAGAUUGGGUAACCUCUAUUGCUUUUUUUCAAUAUUUUAAACCCCUUGUAUCAUCUAUUGACUGAACCUUAGAAGUUUGAGUACUCUUCGGAGAGCUCGCUUCUGAUAUACGAAACUCUGAACAACUCUUAGCAACGGAUAUCUUGGUUCUC
rnacentral:misc_RNA from 1 species